UGACAUAAAACAUCACUCUUCUUUAAAAGGAUCAUAAAUGUAUCCCAAAUUAGCAGAACUAAAUGCAGAACAACAAACAGCCCAUAUUUACCACAAGGAAUAGGGUUAAAAUCUAUUCUCCAGUGACAAAUCCCAACCCCGAGCAGAUUUCAGCCAGGCAGCUAGCAGAGCGCGCGGGGUGAACUGCGCAGGCCAUGGUGGGUGCAGAGCUCAGAGCCGGAAAGCAAACAGCUGCUGUAGCCUGAUUUGAGUUAAAAUAGUGUGAGUGUUUAGUCUGGCGCAGGCUUCAGGGGAGAUUGGCAGCUGGGUCAAACAAAGUCCUUCCAUUGGCUCUCUUCCCAGGCAGCUUCUGCUAGUAUUUAGGUACUAGUGCAGUGUAAGGGCCCUUUUCUCAGGCAAAAACCUAACAUCUGACCACACCCUCUUUUGCUUGCUUUUUCCAAAAAAGAAAGAAAGAAAGAAACCUUUUCUUCUUCUUCUUUCCUUACGAUAUUCUCCAAUAGACAACCUCUCCCACUGGUUGUGUGUCAGCAAUGUAUUUUAUCUCGAGAGCUGACGCACCGGGCUCUCAACGUGGUGUGGAAAGCUGCCUGUUACAGUGUUGGAUUCAUAAAAGGGCCUUUAUGGUUCGUGAAAGAAUAUCUGUGUGCUUAGGCAGGAAACUUUUUGAUCUGCAGAAAAGCCAGAAGACUUCUAGGGUAUCCUUGAAGAUUAAUUAGAAAAUGUCCAUGUGCCUAUAAAGGGACAAACUUAAAAUGGAUAUGAGAAGUGAAGAAAGUGAUCAUAGGAGAAAAUCAUCUCAGGUAAAAAUAAAAAGUAAAAAAGCAAUUAAUAUUUAAUAUUUUGAUUAAAAAUAAUUUUGACUGUGUUAGUUAUAAGAAUUAGUUUCAUAUUCUUUAUGAAUCUAGCUGUUGGGAUUUUAAUUGAUGGUUUGAUAAUUUAUAUUACCCGCCUCUGAAAAAUUUUUGUCUGAGUUUGUGAGCAAUAUACUGUUUGAGUCACUUUGAAUGUAUAUCUAGAUAUCCAUACAUAUAACAUAGCUGAAAUAUGGUUGAAUAGGAAGUUGUUUAGGAAAAAGGAAAAAGUGUAUUUUAUAAUUUGUUGUGCCAUAUAAAAGGAAGUGAAAUCUGGGAGGAGGGAAUAAAGUCAUGCUUUUUUAAAAACAUAUGCUCUAAUAAGACAAUGAAACCAAAAUAUACAUUUUUAUAGUUAUGAUAAACCCAAAACAGAUGCUACCAUUUAUUUCACAUCUGAAUUUGUGAACUUAUGUUGAAAUAUUUUACUAUAAUUGAAUGCAUGAAUCUUGAAUGUUAAUAUUUUAAACUUAUUAAUUAGAAUAAUUUGAAAACAAAUAAUGGUAAAAAUUAUGGAGACCAAAUUCUGUGUGUAAAGUUUAUGAAACACAUUUUAUAUUAUUUAUUUCAAAAUAUGUAAAGAUACAGUAAUUUUUAUGUAGUGCUACUAUUUUUCACAAUGAAGGUAUAAUUGAAAAAUGCUAAAUAUGUGGAUAUGCGUAAAACAACUAAUGAGUGCACAAGUUAUAAUUUUGUUGCUGUUGAGUUUAGAGUCUUAAAAAACAUAUAUGUGGCUGUCUUUAUGUUUAUUCUUGUAUGUUUGAUCAUGGUCUGGUGAUUUAAAUAUUUUUAAUAAACCCAACCUGUUGACAAGAUGAGAGAUGUAUGUAGUCAUACGUUAUGUUUUAAAUAAAUUAUUUUUGAAAAAUACAUUUAAAUAUAUGGUGUAUAAGAGAGAUGAUAUCCUGUUUUAUGGAAUAGAUCUGGAGAAUAAAUGUUAGUGCACAGGAGUAGUAAUAAUGCUAGAAAUGUGUGAUUAAUUUAGUUUUCUAAUAUUUACUUAUCUAAGUAUUGUUAAUUUCAGUAUUAUUCUAAGUAAGGCCAGCUAUAUUUAGGACUUUAAAUAACUUCCUUCAGUACUCUGCCUAGUCAACAAAAUUUUACUUAUUUAUGAGAAAGUUAUAUGUUAUCAAUUCCUUGAAACCACUAACUGAAGUUUUGUAAGAAUUAGAACAAACACAGGCUAACUCUUACACAAUUAGCUUAAUAGUUAAUUUUGUCUUAAUUAAAGGCUCAUAACACUAUAUUCAUGCCUCACAAUUACAUAAUUCAUACAUGCAUGUAUGGAUUAUUUUUUCUUUUAAAGCUCAUCAUUUCUUAGAAUAGUCUAAUUCUAAAAUACUAUUAAAACAUAAGUAAUCUGUGAAAAAUCUUUCAAUAUAGUAUUUUUAAAUUCUUAUGUAUAUAAAAUCUUCAUUCAGUUUAGAAUAUUUAUGAAAGGGAUAGGCAUACUUAGAGCAUUUCAGCAUUUAACAUAUUUAUCCUAAAGGAUCAGUAUUAUUAUUUUCAUCUACUAAUUUCAUCAGAUAUUUUCAACAAAUCCUACUCUAAUGAGAUGUUGCCCAUUGGCAUAAACCCGUAGAUCCGAUCUUGUGGUGAAGUGGACCGCACAAGCUCGUUUCUAUGGGUCUGUGUCAGUGUGGUGAUGUGACAAAAUCCUAUACACAAUGAUGUUAACUAAUAUUUCAAUCAAACUCCUGUAAAAAUCUAGUUGAUUACUUUUGAAGUAAUUAUAUUUUGUUUUUUUUAUGUAUAUAUUAAUCCUCAUCUGUCUUACAAGGCAGGUUUAAUUGUUGACCACUUGGAAGAGUUUGCAGCAAAGCCAUUCAAAUUUGAUCGCAUGUAGGGUAAAUUGCUUAAGAAACUUGGAUUUUUUUAAUAGCAAGUUAUGAACCAAGAUCUGAAUAGAGUCUGUCCAGAAAUUCCGGUUCCCAUUAUAGUGGUUAGUGUACCUCAUCAACUUCAAAAGGAAAAUUAAAGAUGUUUGGAUUUAUGUGUUACUAGUAAGCCUUUUUAUCUUGAAAAAGGAAGCUGAAUGCUAUUGACUUUUAAUAUUAUUAAUUGCUAGUACAGCUAUGCCGGGAGAGAUGUCAGAGGACAUUUUGUUUGACCUAUGCUGGAAACCCAAGAGGUUAGGAUAGUCCUAGUAGACACAGAGUAAGCUAAUUGGUAAAAUGUUAGACUAUUAUAUCUACAUCCUUGCCAAGCCCUUAGGUGUAUGGCCGCCAUAUUUGGAGGAGCUGACUGAAGAUAUGAUAAGGAGUUUGAAGCGACAGUGGAAGCUGUGUGCAUCCGGGUUGAGGUAGUAGGUUGUAUGGUUUAGAGUUAUACCCUGGGAGUUAACUGUACAACCUUCUAGCUUUCCUUGGAGCACACUUGAGCCAUCGAGGAAUUCUUCAUCACUUUAAUCUAAUUGAGCCAAUUUCUGUGUGAGAAGGUAAUGUGUCAUGAGUAUUUUUAAUAAAUUGAAUCUUUAUUACAUUAAAAUGAUCUUUUUAUUUCUAAAUAUUAGAUUAUUCUAUUAUAUCUACUUAUAAACACUGGAAAAUUUGUAUUUCUUAUAGGUCGUUACUCAGUGAUCCAACAUUUUUAAGAACUAGUGAGUAGUGAUUUAAACUGUAUUAAUAUUGCAGCUUUUUCACCCUUAGAUUCACAAAAUUUGGCACCUAAGUUUGUAAGGUGAUCAUUGGUCUUUCUUUAUAUUUUUGAUAGAUACUUAGAUAAACAGUAAAAAAAAUGUCUGUCAGUGUCAAUGACUUCCGUAGCACAUUGCCUGAGUCUUUCUUAUGACACAUCACUUUCUCCCUUAUGUUAUGUUAAGUGCUUGCUUAUUUUUUCCAUAUUAGACUGUAAGCCCCAUGAGGGCAAAGUCCAUGCAUAUUUCUCAUUGUAUCCCCUUGAAUGCCUUACACAAAGUAAGAACCAAAUAUUUAUUGGAUGAAUGAAUAGAGUAUAAGAUUUCACUAUGUGAUUAUUUCUAUUGAAUAUUUGAUUGAAUUACAAUGGUGGUCACAAAUCUGAGUUUUGCUUAUUGUUUCUAAAAUUUCCCUAAAUUUAAUUCCCAGACUGCUCUGAUUCAGUAACAUACUUGACUUAUUUUUUGACUGUGUCGAGUGUGUUCACUCAUCCUAGACAUAAAAUUUAAAAUUUAGGAGUACUUUAUACCUAGAAUAAAAAUAAUAGAAUACAUUUAUUUUUAUUAAUAAGUUCAUUAUAGUUUAUAAUCCUAAAUUUAGAUUGUGCAUAUUUCUUAUGAAUUUUUAAAUUUCUGAAUUUCCAGAUGAAUGGUUUUUAUUUUAGCAUCAAUUUUAAAAUUAGCUUUCUGUAUUCUGUAUACUUCCCUUAAUCUUCUACGCUUUAUACUUGUACAGUAUAUCUGUUGUAUAGACCAGAAACAAUUAAACCAGAACCAUGUCAAGAAAUCUAUAAUAAUAAAAGCGUAAUAUGCUAAUUAGACUGGACAUCUUCUGGACGUCCUUCCAGAUGACCUUUUGGACAAAGCUGGGUGGUGAGGGCCAAGGCAGAGGCAGCUGCAGUGGCAGGCAGGGUCCAAGGCAGAGGCAACCGCAGUGGUGACGAGCGGGGGGGGGGACAGAGCCUCUUUUAUGAAUUUCGUGCAUUGGGCCUCUAGUUAAUAAUAAGUAAGUAUAUGGGGCAUAAUUUGAGGUUUAGAUCACAUUUUUGUUUAAAGAAAAGACACCCACAGCAUUCUGUCUGUACAUAGCAAAUGGAUCUCUUUGAAAUCCAUUAGCUUGCUCUCAACUUUAAUGGCAGUGAAUGUUGCAAUUUAUAUAGAGAGGCUAGUUUAGCUAGAUCGUCUUUCCGUCACAGAAUUAAAUAGCUGUAGAUAUUAGAACUAAUUUAAACUCUAAGCAUGAAACAUUGAAUAUAUGAGAAAAGAUUUGUAGAUACAGGUAUAUGUUAAAAAACCAUUAAGACCCUGAUGGUGUGUUGAUGAGCUUUCUAGAGAACACCCUGGCAUUCAGAAUAUUUCAGAAUUUAGAAUUUACCAACAAUGGUAGUGAAGAAGGAACUUUUGAGGCACCAACAGGAAGAACACAUGAAACUUAGAAAGCCCAAUACCAAUGAUUUCAAGCAAAAGUAUUUGACUGGCAUGCAGAAGUUAAAGACAAGUAGUCUCUAAGAAAGAAAAGUCUUUUGAAGGAUUAAUGAAGAGAAAAUGAACAAGAGGCAGGAGAUAAGAGAGCAAGAAAAAGAGCCUGAGAGAGAAUGGACAGAUGAAAAAGACAGUGACUCCUAGCAAAGAGAAACAAGAUGUGUGUAAUAGUAGCGGUUCAACACAAAGGUGGAAGAAAUAGACAACUGAAUGGUAAACAAUUAAGUUUUUGUGAAUAAUUUAGCCCUUGAGAACUGGGAUACCUUUCUUGUGUGUGAAUGUAUGCAUUUGUGUGUAUUCCAAUACUUAGUUCAUAAAUUUGGAGACCAAGUCAUAUACACAUUGGUGGCCCAAAUAUAAUACUAUUGCCAAUAAAUUCCUGUUUCUGUGCAGUGCAAUGAAGUAUAUCACAGAAGUCAACUAUGAUGGGUGGUACAAGAAUAAUCUCAUAAAAAUACUAUGAUAAAUGCAUCAAAUUGUGGGUCUCUUAUCUACUCUAUCUAAAGCAAACUGGUAUUUCAGAAGAAUGGCUGAAAAGUGGCAAAGAUGUAGCUAUGACCUAAUGUGUUAGUCAUGCAGAAAUCAUAAUUCUGAAAGGCAGAGGAUAUCAUUAGCAUCAAUGAAGAAAAUAGGGUGAGAAUACUACAUGGGAGAGUUAUGCUUUCACUGGUGAUUAAUAAUAUCUUUUUCUCUUCCAGCUGUUGGGGUUAUUUAACUUACUAUUUUUUAUAAAAUAAUGUUUAAUGACAAAUGCACAAAUUGAUAGAAUUAUAUUUAAAGAAACUAAGAUUCAGGACCAUUGCUGGUGUCACUACCUAGAAAUAGUUAACUUAGCCUAAGAAACUAUGGGGAAAUAUAUAUUUAUAGAGUUAACAUUUAAUGGAGACACAACUAUGCAGAUUCAAUAAUUUCCAGUAAUCAUAUUUUACUGUAUACCAGGGUUUCCACAUUUGGUAACAGAGGAAGUGUGAAAAUUUAGGAAACAAUUAAAUAUCAGCAAAUCAUAAUCUACUUAACCAAUGUCUCUUGUUAUUUUGGGACACUAAAUUGGAUAGAUAGAUAGAUAGAUAGAUAGAUAAUAGAUAGAUAGAUAUAUCUUUAUAUCUGUAGUGGCUGAUUUGCCUUAAAUACUUUGUGGAAUAAGGCAGGAAAUAGUUGGAGUGGGAAGGAAGGGAGGAGAGGAAGAAUGGAAGGAAAGACAAGGAAAAUGAAUUGCAAAGCAAUUGAUUGGGCAUUACCAGAAAAGCCUAAUUUAGUUCAUAGUAUUGAACUAAAUUGUCCAAACUAACUAUGGGAAAAUCAGAAAGCUUAUUUGGUAAUUGGACUAUGUCUCCUUGAAACAAUCCAGCAGUACAUGAACUGUUAUUAGAAUGAGUCACACUCUGUAUAAUCAUUUUCUGUUAUUCCUUGUUAUCAAAGGCUGAUUCAUGAACAUAGGUGAUUCUCCAAGAUCCCCUAAAUGAUGUGAUACAGGAUUCUGCCACCCUGAGCGUUAUUUUACAUCCACACCUAAUUUCUCUUCAACAGAAUACCACACCUAAUUUCUCUUCAACAGAAUAUAGGGAUAACUCUUGAGAACACUGAUCUUGACUACACCCAUGCCAGCCCCCUAAAAGGUCCCUAGGGAAAACCUGUGAAUAGUCAUUAGGUGAAGGUUCUGAUGUAAUAAGAGAGCAUUUAUCUCUCACUUGCUUACUAAUUUCUACCAUUCACUGCACUUUACAAACAAACCCAUUACUUGAUAGUUUUUCAAGAUUCUUGUGUAUCAUCUCUCUAUCCAGAAAGCCUUUACUCUUUCUGUAAGAGAGAUUGUCUCAGUUUUGAAUCCUCAUAGCCCUUGCACCUUUUAUUCCCACAAGGUUUUUCCAACUUUAAUGAAUACUAAAUACAAAUGCCCAAAGGGCUAUGACUUACUUUUGUACCUCCUGUAAUGUAUAUACUUUAACAGUUAGACUGAGUUAAACUUUAGAUCAUUUCUGAGCAAUGAAUAGAACCUAUAUGUACCUUUAAAUAGACUAUGCUUCAUCACUAAAAUCUUGUGUUAAUCAAGAUAUUCUCCAGAACAUGUCAUUAUGAGAUAUAAGAUUUUUAAGACUAUCUAUAAGUUCUGUAGGCCAGAUUUGAUUAAGCAUGUGCUAUACCAUUUGAAUGUGAUUUAUGAAACUAUCUUAUUCUACUAUUUGUAAUAGAUCUAAGCUCUUCAUGUACAAAAAUACCUUUUUCAAAACUCACAACUCCUACAUAGCGCUCAGUUUAUAGGAUGAAUUCAAGAACUCUUUGGUGAAUGAUCAAAAAAAUCUUAAGUGAAAUAAAAAUAUUAUGUGAUACAGUGGAACAAUUCUACAUUUAAACUUUAAAAUUCUAAUUCUUUAAACUUUAAAAAUUUAGAUAUUAAGAUAAAGUAGGAAUAUCACUUUUAACUUUUGGGAAGUCUGUUAGAUGGGGGUUCUUGAUUUUUAAGUUGGCAUUGUUUUGUGCAUGCCUGUAUUUUUAACCUCACUCUAUGCUGUGUGUAAUGUGUAAGUUAAAUAAGCUGCCCCUGUUUUCUUCCUACAUCUUACUCCCCUGAACUCUCAAUUCUGUUUCUCUUCAUUCGAUCUCUUAGAAACCUUACUUGACUACAAUCAUAUUGAGCCUGUGUUUCCCGUUACUUUUGUUUAGAUAAUAUGUAGUAAAGUUAGAUUGUAAGCUGUAUAAUCCAUGUGUACUUUUACUUAGUAGGCACUUAAAUAGUAUUUGAUUGAAAUUAAAACUAAAAUAUAGAUUUAUAAACUAUAAGAACUUUAGAGACAAUCUGGUCCCUUUUCCAGAUGACCUGAGUGUUUCAUGACCUUGCUAGGGUCAAUCCACUAGUAUAGACACUACCUAGAUUUCUAUUCAGCUAGGUAAUCUAUCUAGGAUGAAAUAUUUUAUGUUUGCUAUCAAUAGAUUUUCAGCUAGUUUUCAAUUGCUAUCAAAAGAUUAUUGGGUAAUGGCAUUAAACAAGUUUUAAUUAGUUGAUUGAUAUAAUAAUAAGGUUUUGUUUUGGAAAGACUACAAAAAGGUAAUUUAUUAUCAGAUUCAAAUGUGAUAGAUAUAUAAUUAAUAUUAUUUAAAAUGAACUUCAUAUCCUUCUAGUUCUUUCUUUUCAAGUACAAGUACAAUCUUAUUCUUCUAGGCAUAGAGAGAAAAUUCUCUACCUUCUAGCUCCACUGUGUUAUAACCCCUUCUUCCAGAACUCUUCUCCAUGGGAGAGGAGUAUGGCCUAGUAUUUGUGAUGUAUGAUAAGUAAAAAGGGAAUAAGUAAGAAUUGGUUAGUUAACCUAUUAGUAUUGUGUUGCUUAGGAGAACAAAAGUUAAUCUGAAAUGCUAACCAUAACUUAGUCUGACUUAAGAACUCAAUUGCUUAUGCCCUCCCCAUGAAAUAUGCAAGAUAUAAUUAUGUUAUAUAAGUUUCAUGAACUUAAAUAACUUCAGGAUCUAAGAAGUAUAAUAAGAUAGACUUGUGCUCACUUCGGCAGCACAUAUACUAAGAUAGACUUUAAGACAAAAGGAAAUAAUGGAAACUGUGGUAGACCAAGGAAGGCAUACUCACUUUCAAGUUAUUCCAAAAUGAUUUCUGUCAAUCUAAAUUUGGCCCAUGAGGGCAGCCAGUUUUCCAUUUUGGUAUGCAAGCAUCACAUUGUACAUCAAAGCUUCAAUAAAUCUGUUCUUUUGAUAAACCUAACAGCAUUUUUACAAUGGAACUAUACAAUUGAGAGUAUCUAUAUGUUCAAUAAUUCUAAAGUGUAUAUAUAGGAUAAAUUCUUACACACUUCUAUGUGUUAUUUCAAAUAUGUGUGUUGCUGUUAUUUUAAAUAGACAUGUAUGCUCCAUGAUAGUAUGUAUAUUUUCUCAACUUUAAUUAACUAAUGAAAGAAUAUUCAUUGUUCAAGCAAUACCUACCAAUUGCAAUAUUGUCUUGAUCCUAUUUUAAUGAAAGAAAUGUAGUAGAAGUAAGUGUAGAGGUCCUAGUAGUAGUAUAGGUAUGUAGUUUUAGGUUCCAUCUGCAUCUAAUUCUCAAUGUACAAAACAAUAAAAUACAUAUACUUCUUAUUCCUCAUUAUUAAUGCUAAAGACAGAUGGAUAGAUAGCAAUUUCAAGUCAGAAAAAUCAAAAGAUUAAAUAAAGUGAACACAAAGUUCAAGUGUUCUCAUCUCAAUAUAGUCUUACAUUCAGACAAGUGGAUAUAAUUGAAGAGUAAAGUAACUGGUUGUUACUUAUUGUUGUUAAUUAUAUUUUAUUGUGCUAUAAUUAAAGAACCAGUUGUGCAUAAAUCUAGAACUAGAACUAGAUCAGGUUCCUGUCUUACAUUGUAAUUUAAUCUGAUAAACUAAAAUCUGGUAAGUAGAAAUGAUACAACCAAUUAUAACAACACUGAGUUUAUAGUAAUGAAAGAGACAUGUGUUUGUAAUUUUGCAAUGUGUAGCACAUUCUUAUUUAAUACAAUUGGAGUCAGUAAUUUAACAGUUAAUCCACAAAGAUUUUUGAAGAAACAGAUAUUAAAAAUUAACAUAUACAUAAAAUACAUAUUUUGUUUAAAUUUUAAAACUUGAAAAAUAAUUGAAAGCUUGAUUAUAUAUUUAUUGGCUAGUGUUUUUAUCAAAGCCAAGAAAUAUUUUGAGUUUUGGUUGCUGUUCACAGAUUUUCAUCAUUUUUCUUUCUGUAAAUCUCAUAAUGCAUCGUCUAUGAAUUAUAAUUUUUGUUGUUUCAUAAAUGUAUUUAAGUAUAAAUCCAAUGCAAAGAAAUCUGAAAGCAGAAUCCCAUAUUCUCUAUGAUUUUUCUAAUUUUUUUUAAUUUGUUCUACCUACAUCUAACUCAAUAGCAUUUUUAUAAAUAUGUUUUUAUUGGUUUUAGAGAAACAAGAAGAGAGAGGGAGAGAGAGAGGGAAACAUCAGUUGCCUUCCAUACACAUCCAGGGUUAGAACCUACAAGCUGAGUAUGUGCCCUGACUAGGAAUUGAACCGAUGACCAUUUGGUACACAGGACGAAGCUCAACCAAUUCAGCCCUACCGGCCAGGCUUGAUAGCAGUUUUAAAGGGACUGAAUUUCAAAAAUUCUCCAGUAUAUAUCAUCUCUUAUUAUUUUUAUGCUAAUAAAAAUAAUAUUAUUUUUACUCAUACUUAAAUUUGUUUGUAUAGUAUUUAAUUACAUUAUACAAUUUCAUAUUUACCCAACAGGCAUAGAUUGGUUUGGGAAUAGACAUAAUUGACUACCUACCAGAAAGCAUACAAAUCAUUUGUUGGGAACAGAAAUACUUGGGUGUUCUAGAACGUUCUAGGGCAGUGGUUCUCAACCUUGGCUGCACAUCAGAAUCACCUGGGAAUCUUUUAAAAAUCCUGAUUUCUGGGCA